rnacentral:lncRNA from 1 species
UUAAAAUAAAAAUCUUAAUUAAAUUCCAAUCAAAAUCUAAUCAAAUCUUAAUCAAAUCUUAAUCAAACUUUAAUCAAAUCCUUGUCAAACCCUAGUCAACCCCUAAAUAAGCCGUAACCAAAUUUUAAACAAAUCUUAGAUAAACCUUAGUCAAAUCCUAGUGAAAUCCUAAUCAAAUCCUAAUCAAAUUCUAAACAAAUAUCAACCAAAUUUUAAUCAAAUCCUAAAUAAAUCCUAGUCAAAUCUUGAAUAAAUCCUAGUCAAAUCCUAAAUAAAUUCUAGUCAAAUCCUAGACAAAUCUUAAUCAAAUCUUAAUCAAAUCCAAAAAAAAAUUCUAAUCAAAUCUUAAUAAAAUCCUAGUCAAAUCUUACACAAAUCCUUAAUAAGCUCUAACCAAAUUCUAGAAAAAUCUUACUCAAAUUCUAGUCAAAUCUUAAUCAAAUCUUAAUCAAAUCCUAAAAAAAUCCUAAUAAAAUCCUAGACAAGUCCUAAAUAAGCCCUAACCAAAUUCUAGUCAAACUUUAAUCAAAUUCUAAUCAAAUCCUAAUUAAAUCCUAAUCAAAUUCUAAACAAAUCUUAACCAAAUUUUAAUCAAAUCCUAAAUAAAUCCUACUCAAAUCUUAGACAAAUCUUAGCCAAAUCUUAAUCAAAUCCUAAUCAAAUCCAAAAAAAAUUCUAAUCAAAUCCUAAUAAAAUCCUAAUCAAAUCUUAGACAAAUCCUAAAUAAGUUCUAACCAAAUUCUAAAAAAAUCUUACUCAAAUCUUAAUCAAAUCCUAAAAAAAUCGUAAUAAAAUCCUAGACAAGUCCUAAAUAAGCCAUAACCAAAUCUUAGACAAAUUCUAGUCCAACUCUAAUCAAACU